rnacentral:rRNA from 1 species
AGAGUUUGAUCCUGGCUCAGGACGAACGCUGGCGGCGUGCCUAAUACAUGCAAGUAGAACGCUGAAGAGAGGAGCUUGCUCUUCUUGGAUGAGUUGCGAACGGGUGAGUAACGCGUAGGUAACCUGCCUUGUAGCGGGGGAUAACUAUUGGAAACGAUAGCUAAUACCGCAUAACAAUGGAUGACACAUGUCAUUUAUUUGAAAGGGGCAAUUGUUCCACUACAAGAUGGACCUGCGUUGUAUUAGCUAGUAGGUGAGGUAAUGGCUCACCUAGGCGACGAUACAUAGCCGACCUGAGAGGGUGAUCGGCCACACUGGGACUGAGACACGGCCCAGACUCCUACGGGAGGCAGCAGUAGGGAAUCUUCGGCAAUGGGGGCAACCCUGACCGAGCAACGCCGCGUGAGUGAAGAAGGUUUUCGGAUCGUAAAGCUCUGUUGUAAGUCAAGAACGGGUGUGAGAGUGGAAAGUUCACACUGUGACGGUAGCUUACCAGAAAGGGACGGCUAACUACGUGCCAGCAGCCGCGGUAAUACGUAGGUCCCGAGCGUUGUCCGGAUUUAUUGGGCGUAAAGCGAGCGCAGGCGGUUUGAUAAGUCUGAAGUUAAAGGCUGUGGCUCAACCAUAGUUCGCUUUGGAAACUGUCAAACUUGAGUGCAGAAGGGGAGAGUGGAAUUCCAUGUGUAGCGGUGAAAUGCGUAGAUAUAUGGAGGAACACCGGUGGCGAAAGCGGCUCUCUGGUCUGUAACUGACGCUGAGGCUCGAAAGCGUGGGGAGCGAACAGGAUUAGAUACCCUGGUAGUCCACGCCGUAAACGAUGAGUGCUAGGUGUUGGAUCCUUUCCGGGAUUCAGUGCCGCAGCUAACGCAUUAAGCACUCCGCCUGGGGAGUACGACCGCAAGGUUGAAACUCAAAGGAAUUGACGGGGGCCUGCACAAGCGGUGGAGCAUGUGGUUUAAUUCGAAGCAACGCGAAGAACCUUACCAGGUCUUGACAUCCCGAUGCUAUUUCUAGAGAUAGAAAGUUACUUCGGUACAUCGGUGACAGGUGGUGCAUGGUUGUCGUCAGCUCGUGUCGUGAGAUGUUGGGUUAAGUCCCGCAACGAGCGCAACCCCUAUUGUUAGUUGCCAUCAUUCAGUUGGGCACUCUAGCGAGACUGCCGGUAAUAAACCGGAGGAAGGUGGGGAUGACGUCAAAUCAUCAUGCCCCUUAUGACCUGGGCUACACACGUGCUACAAUGGUUGGUACAACGAGUUGCGAGUCGGUGACGGCGAGCUAAUCUCUUAAAGCCAAUCUCAGUUCGGAUUGUAGGCUGCAACUCGCCUACAUGAAGUCGGAAUCGCUAGUAAUCGCGGAUCAGCACGCCGCGGUGAAUACGUUCCCGGGCCUUGUACACACCGCCCGUCACACCACGAGAGUUUGUAACACCCGAAGUCGGUGAGGUAACCUUUUGGAGCCAGCCGCCUAAGGUGGGACAGAUGAUUGGGGUGAAGUCGUAACAAGGUA